CGGAUUGUAAAGCACUUUAAGUUGGGAGGAAGGGCAGUAACUUAAUGCGUUGCUGUUUUGACGUUACCGACAGAAUAAGCACCGGCUAACUCUGUGC
rnacentral:rRNA from 1 species